rnacentral:rRNA from 1 species
UACGUAGGACGCAAGCGUUGUCCGGAAUUACUGGGCGUAAAGAGCUCGUAGGUGGUUUGUCGCGUUGUCCGUGAAAACUCACAACUCAAUUGUGGGCGUGCGGGCGAUACGGGCAGACUGGAGUACUGCAGGGGAGACUGGAAUUCCUGGUGUAGCGGUGGAAUGCGCAGAUAUCAGGAGGAACACCGGUGGCGAAGGCGGGUCUCUGGGCAGUAACUGACGCUGAGGAGCGAAAGCGUGGGGAGCGAACAGG